AGUAUCUUUAGAAGAGCAGAAGUCCUUAACUUGGAUAAAGUCGGUUUCUCCCUUUGUUACUCUCAAUAGGAAGAAAAAUUCCUCAACCUGAUGAAAAACCUACAGCUGACAUCAUCCAUAAGGCUGAAUGCUUUAUGUCCAUGAUAGGAAAGAAACAAGGAUGUCUGUCUGCUCUCACCAGCUCAAUAUUUAAUUUUGUGUGGGAGAUCUUAACUAGCGCAAUAAGAAUCCCAUUUCUCAUUUCCUCAAGGUCCAAGCCUCACAAGCCAGGACUACUCAAGCACAUCCCAAACCCAUAGUCAUUCGUACUGUGACCCAGUUAAAUGGAGCUAUUGGUUUCCCUACAAGUUUUCCUUCUGUAGAUCUUUGUGAAAGCUUGAACAUCAAGCUUUGUGAAAUGACUCUGAUUCUUCACCAUAUCUGUAUCUUGUUCAGUGGAGGACAUGCAGUCCUGGAGCUGAUUAUAGAAUCCAUUUCAAAAAUAAGCGGAGAGAGAGAGAGAAGGUGACUCCAAGCAAAAUGUCCCUGACAUUUCUUCAUUCCAAGAAGGUAUUUUUACCAUAAGAAGAAAUCAUAGAUUACUGGAGUUGGAAAAAGCCAUGGAUAAGAUCCUUGUACUGGAUGUAGAGAUCAAGCCCCAUAGAGAUUAAAUGACUUGCCCAAGGUCACAGUUUGUUAGUCUCUUAGAAGAAAUAAUACAUUUUUCUAAAAUAGGAUGCUUCUCACAUUUUAGUCUUUUACUGUCCUUAGCAAAUUUAACCUUUUCCAUGCAGCUGUUGAGAUAACCUACUGGUUGUAUAAGCUACAUCAACACAAGGGACGUAUCUCAGAAAAUGCCCCCAGACUGCCUCCCUUUUCAUUAUUGAAAACCACAAGAUGAAACUCUUUAAUAACUCACUGCACAAGAGGACCAUUACUGUCAGCAUAUACCACUCAGCCAUAUAUUAUAGCUUUUUACUUCUCCACACAAAAUUGCCUUGAAAUUUACAUUUGCUAUAAAGGAUUCAAGUCCAUCACCGUUAAUUUCCCUCUACAAAUUAUGUUUAAUUAUCACCUCUUUCCACCUAUAAAGAAGCCCCUCUUGUACUUCUGUCUCCAUAUAGCUCUCAAGAAGAGUUUCCCCAGCAUGAAUCUUUGAUGGUGAUUUUAUAUCCCUUACAUGCCCUUCCUUGUCAAGCUCACACAGCCCACUUAGAGAUAUGGAAAUGAAUGGCUUGCCUGGCUCUGCAUUUCCUGCAUACAUAUGAAGUCUGGUCUCCCUAAGCAGGAGAAAAAGAGGAACAUUUUCCAGCUUUAGCCUGUGGACAAUUAGGCUAGAAACAUCCCAUUCUAAGAUUCAAAGAAGCUUUGAAAGUCUAUCCAUGAUUGAUUGCUUAACAG